rfam:Azospirillum sp. CAG:260 genomic scaffold, scf52
AGGGGUAUAGCUCAGUUGGUAGAGCAUCGGUCUCCAAAACCGAGGGUCGUGAGUUCGAAUCUUACUGCCCCUG